AGUAACGCGUGAGUAACCUGCCUUACACAAGGGGAUAGCCUCUGGAAACGGAGAAUAAUACCCUAUGAUAUUAACAACUCGCAUGGGUAGUUAAUCAAAGUGCUUAGCGGUGUAAGAUGGACUUGCGUCUGAUUAGCUAGUUGGUGAGAUAAAAGCUCACCAAGGCAACGAUCAGUAGCCGGCUUGAGAGAGUGUACGGCCACAUUGGGACUGAGACACGGCCCAG
rnacentral:rRNA from 1 species